ACGCCAAGCUUGACAGGCUUACUCUCAAUGAUUUCCGUUAAGGAAAUCUUUUGGCACCUCUAAAAAUGGUGCAGAAUAAGGGGUGGGCAAGUCUGGUGUCAGCCGCCGCGGUAAUACCAGCACCCCGAGUGGUCGGGACGAUUAUUGGGCCUAAAGCAUCCGUAGCCGGUUCUACAAGUCNUCCGUUAAAUCCACCUGCUNAACAGAUGGGCUGCGGAAGAUACUACAGAGCUAGGAGGCNGGAGAGGCAAGCGGUACUCAAUGGGUAGGGGUAAAAUCCGUUGAUCCAUUGAAGACCACCAGUGGCRAAGGCGGCUUGCCAGAA
rnacentral:rRNA from 1 species